rnacentral:lncRNA from 1 species
GUCGAAGGUCGGCAAGGCUCCAAGGGCUAGGCUGGAGGCUCCAUGGGACGUUGUCCUGUGGUUCCAGAGGCCACACCCUGUGUGCUGCACGAGGACAGGAGGAGGACAGGAGGCGCCCAAGUUGCCUGCCCCAGCCGCCCUGGGCUGGGGCGGUGGGGGUUGGGAGGGGUGUGGGGGUGACUCUGCCUGGAGGGCCAUGCAUCUGGACUUCUCCUCUACAAGGCCAUGGCUCCGCUGUGAGGCCUCCUGCUGCUGAGAACACUCCUGCCUCUGCUCACUGGGCUGGUCUCAGGAGGAACAAAGGGGACUUAACCAGUGCCCAACACCCAUGACAUCUCCUGGGAGGCAAGACAGUAGCAGGCCGUGCUCGGUGCAAUGGGCUCUUGUGGUUCACACUGGGCAUUCUACAGAGCACAUCCCCCGGGAUGGAUGGCUUGAUUCUCACAGUCAUCCUGGGAGGAAGACACUGUCCCCGCUCUCCUUUUACUAAUGAAAUGGAUGAGAUCCCAAGAUGUGAUGUUGUUACUGUCAUGGACUUGAACCCGGGCACCCAGGGCACGGAGCCACCGCCAUGGAGCACCUGCAGUCUCACCUGCACACUCCCUUACUUGGACUCCUGCUCCUAGGAAGGCUACGUACGGAUUUGCACUCAGGCUCUGGAAAGCAGCAACAGCAUGUCCGUCCCAGGGGCAAGCACUGGCAGGUGGCUGUCCCGGGAGAGGCAAGGGGGACACAUGUCCAGGUGUUGUUGAGAUCGAGAAAGCGAAGGAGGACUCCAGGAGAUAAAACGUUUUUUAUUCCGCAUCUUCUCCUGCUUAGUGCUUCUAGGACCCAUGCCCCCACCCACUCUACAUAGGCCUUGUAGGCUCUACACGCAAAGAUCUUAUGUCCUCCUUGUGAGGUCAAGGAAGUAAAGACUUCUCUAGAGCAGAGAACACCUAAGAAAGGAGCAGGUGAGAAAUGACCGGGAUAAAGCCAUGACGCGCGGACUCCAGACUGCCUGCGCCAGAUGUCUCGAUGCCAAGAUCCCCGGGCCCCGAGAAGCAGCACCUGGGGCCUCGCCUUGGUCUAACCAGGUCCUGGAUGCCUCAGGGGUCAUGUACACCAGACCACUGCCCUCAGUAAGACCCCCGGAUCCCAAGCGAAAAUGAGACUCGUGUUCUUUCCUCCCUGUGUCUCCUGGACACUCUGUCUGUACCCCUCACCCUGUCCGUACACAUGGGCAAUAAACCCCACCUUCACCUCCUGCUGGCUCA